GCCAGAAGUCAGUGGACCUCGCCAUAAUCGUCUGGAUCACAGAGCGCCGUGGUUAAAGAGGGAUCCACAUGACGAGGCGUUCACUCUGGAUCCUGAAGGAAGGAACACCAGGAGAUGCAGCUGGAGGAGCAGGUCUCAGUCCAUGACGAUGCUCCUGGGGAUAAACUGAGAGACUUUUCCAGCAGGCUGAGGAUCAGAGCGUCACAGACCUGCUGUAAACCCUGAUCCUGGACUGUCAGGCAGCGCCGGCGGCUCCUGCAGACGUCUGCUGCCUUCAGCGGCUCUGGUUUCUCCUCACACUUCUGCUGCUGCUGCCUCGCUCUCUCUCUCCGUCUGACGCUCCACACUGCCUGGCUGGGAGAGAGGGAACCAGGAGCUCUUCAUGCUGCUUAAAUCAGGAGGGACGUGGAAUUAUUCAUUGGAAUACAUGCACACAUUUGCAUUGGAGCUGAUGACCCGCCUCUGCCUUUAGCUGAUUGGGCUGAAGUUGUCCUCCUGCUCUCUGAUUGGCUCAUCAAACUUCUGCUCUGCAUCCCAGCUCCUGUUGGAGAGACAAGGGUAAAGCAGUUAACCUGUCCUGUCAGUCACUCUGUCACUGGGCUGCAGACACACGCUGAUUAAUACUGUCACUGAUGAAUGAACAAGGACAUUUUCAUGACUUUAUAUACAGUUAGAAUACAUGUAUUGCUCAUACUGUAUGCCUUAUAUGUUAAAUCUUGAUCUGACAAAGUUACAGUGGCUUCAGAAAGUAUUCAGACCCCUUCACUUUACUGUGUUGUAGAUUUAAUUUUAAAUGGAUAAAAUUCUCAUUUGUGCCCAUCAAUGUUCGAUCAAUAACCUGUAACGACAAUUUGAAAACUCCUUUUUACGUCAGUUCUUCCCUCAGGAUCGGACCAAGAAUAAAUUGGUUUGAGAAUCAUGGGAAACACAGAGCGUGCAGUCAUCUGCUGACAAAUAUCUGUAAUAAAACGCUUGGAGAUGAUCAGUGUGA